rnacentral:rRNA from 1 species
GCAAAGAUUACCCCUUGUACCUUUUGCAUAAUGAAUUAACUAGUAUAAGACUUAACAAAAUGAAUUUUAGCUAAGCAGCCCGAAACCAGACGAGCUACUCACAAACAGUUUACCAAGAACUAACUCAUCUAUGUGGCAAAAUAGUGAGAAGAUUUGUAAGUAGAGGUGACAUGCCUAACGAGCCUGGUGAUAGCUGGUUGUCCAGAAAAUGAAUCUAAGUUCAGCUUUAAAGAUACCAAAAAUUCAAAUAAACCCCACUGUAGCUUUAAAAGUUAGUCUAAAAAGGUACAGCCUUUUAGAAACGGAUACAACCUUGACUAGAGAGUAAAAUUUAACACUACCAUAGU